AUUGAACGCUGGCGGCAGGCCUAACACAUGCAAGUCGAGCGGUAGAGAGGUGCUUGCAUCUCUUGAGAGCGGCGGACGGGUGAGUAAUGCCUAGGAAUCUGCCUAGUGGUGGGGGAUAACGUUCGGAAACGGACGCUAAUACCGCAUACGUCCUACGGGAGAAAGCGGGGGAGUCUUCGGACCUCGCGCCAUUAGAUGAGCCUAGGUCGGAUUAGCUAGUUGGUGAGGUAAUGGCUCACCAAGGCGACGAUCCGUAACUGGUCUGAGAGGAUGAUCAGUCACACUGGAACUGAGACACGGUCCAGACUCCUACGGGAGGCAGCAGU
rnacentral:rRNA from 1 species